ensembl:snRNA U6 U6 spliceosomal RNA
GUGCCCACUUCUGCAGCACAUAUACUAAAAUUGGAACGAUACAGAGAAGAUUAACAUGGCCUCUACGCAAGGAUGACAUGCAAAUUCGUGAAGUGUUCCCUAUUUUU